UGAAUGCAGUGUUGCCAGAAUGGA
rnacentral:piRNA from 1 species